AAAAAAUAGAUAACCUUUUUAUUAAAAAAAUUGCCUUGAAAAGUAUGCAGUAAAUAUGAUGGAAUAUACUUUUUACUCUUUUCAUAAUAUUGCUUCUGGUUAACAAUACUCGCCAAGGUCGUUUGGAAUAUUUACUACUUGCCUACAGAAAUCCACCUGCAUAUUUAUUUUUACUUUUUGUGACCAAAUAGCGCAAUAUUGUGUAUCAACAUUAAUGAUCGGAAAUGGGCAUCAAAAAGCAAAGUGACAGCUGUGAUAUUUAAGUUGGCAGGAGGAAGAAUGUGUAUAUGCAAAAGCGUACCAAAAGCAGCAGCAGCAUCUCAUCAUCGUCGGGCAGCAAAGAUGGCCAAGGGUCCGGCUGGUCGGAGUGGUCGACCUGUUCACGUACCUGCAAUGGCGGAGCAGCAAGACUUUUGUGAGCAUCAGUGUGCCGCCUACAAUGACGUGCCCUACGAUGGUACACUCUACACGUGGACGCCGCUCUACGACUAUGUGGAGCCGUGUGCGUUGACAUGCAGGGGCCGUUCAGCACAUUUAUAUUUGAGCGUCAGCGCAUCAUCCGAAGGUGUUGAGGAUCCCGAACGCUAUGAUGAUCAUGUGAUCGUGCAACUGUCGGUAGGCGUACAACAUGGCACACGUUGUCGAACGGGUUGCCUCGAAAUGUGCAUACUAUUCUAAUCUAUUGGAAAAACUAAAAUUUCCAACUAACACGUUGGAUAACGCAAAGUUAUUAAAUUAGCGCUGAGUGCAAAAUUAUGGUAGUUUUAAUGAAAAUUCACUUCCGCUAUCAAGUGAAGUAAAAACUGUUUGAGUAAUUUUAAAAACGCAAUGAGAUUAUCUUUUAUUACUUAUCUAACUAAAGUUAUUAACAUCGACAACAUUCACGGUAGCGGCACCGAAAAUCACGCGAUGUCGUGUAAUUUAUAAUGUCGAGCCGUGUUCUUUCUGUUAUAUAAUACCACUAUUUAUUUUUAUAUUGCUGACAUUUGGAUUAUUUUCAAUAUUUUUCUGCUGCCAAUAACAAAGCUACAAAAUUUUCUAAAAUUAAAGAUUUUCUGCAAUUAUCGAACAACAAAGAUACAAGUUUAUUGACACUAAAUCUGAGUUAUAUGCUAACUCGUUAUGAUACUUUCGUUGAAAUGAUUUUAUUGUUAGUGAUUUCUGAAUUUUUAUUGCUAUUAUUCUUUUCAGUCUAUCUUUAUUGUUAUUGUUGGUUUUAUUUGCCGGUUUGUUCUAUUUUUACUACUUUUUUUAUAUUUUUCUACACACAUUUCUACAUUUUCGUAUGUGAAUCGUAAACUUACUCACACUCCACCGAACUUGUAAGGAUGACUAGUCCGGGCAUACAAACAGACACAAAGGAGGCUAGCAAUGCUCAUAGUUUAAAUAUAUUUUUCAUAUUUUGCAUUGUUGUAAACAAUUUGUUGUUCGUAUGAGUUCGUAGGCACACAAAUAAAUCAUUCGUUAGCGCAAAAACCCAACUCCACUAAUGUAGUUCUCUCUGGCAGUCAACAUUGCAUAAAAUACCAUAUACACACCUACUUGUACAUACUCGUUUUUCCAUACAUAUUGUAUGUAUGUUCUCUCCAACAAAUGUAAUGUGUAUGUGUGGUUCUGUGCUUUUGGAGUGUCUUUCGAAUGGCAAUAAAGUACUUUUUUGUGGUUUUUGAUCACAUUUGUGUUUACUGUUACAUAUCUCUUCGCGCAUUGUUGCUCGUAAACGAAAUAGGAAAUGUAAAUAAUAAAAUAUAAAAUAAUAUUUUUUUAUUAUUUUUAUAAGAGGGAAACUUUUUAAUUUACAACUUCAGUAAAAAACUCACGAAGUAAUGUGGCACCUUUCAACUUUGUUUAAUUGAAGAGUGUUUAUUAGGUUAUGUUAAACUAAUUCAUAAUGCAUACGCUACACGUUAUUUUAUGGUAAAGGUUUUGUGUUCGGUUAUUUUUAGUGUUCUUACCAUUUUGUAUUUAUUAUACAUAGAGUCUCUUCAGGUGUAUUUGCAGAAGAAGCAUUUUGGUUAGUCCUCGUCAGCAAAUAAGAAUGCUGGAAACAGUAUAAUCUUAGUAUAUUCGAUUCAGCCAAGAGUCUCCAACUCAGAUAUAUUCGUUGUAGUGGCACAACAUAGCAUUGCUCUCAUAUCUCAAUAUGCCGACAAGUUAUGACCUCAAUUUUCUGUAAUAAACGCCAAUAUAUCAUGCGGUUCUUUGGAUGAUAGGUGCUCAGUUCAAGGGUAUGAACCAAACUUUGAGUGCCAGUGCCGGUUUUAGCACCAUAACCGCUGCCGAUACAAAAGCAUACUUAGCCGAGCAUACAAAUAGUUUUAAAAUGUUCGACAUGUUACAUAUUUGAAAUGUACGAAUAUGUCGAAGAAAGUGCGAAAAUAAAUCAACUGAGAAUAUGAUAUCUUAAUACUUUUGUAUGUUUGUGUAUUCAUACAUCAUUCAAUCUUCGGCAUUUGGUAUCAUCUGUCGUUGCCAGGGUGGCUAAGUGAAUAAGUGAUGUGUGGGAACUUUCUAAACUCUCCCCGGGUUUACAGGUGCCUCAUUUUGAAAACCCACAUGCGUGUCAAUUGCUGCAAAUUGAAAAGUAGCGUAAUGUGUUGGGAAACUUAAUUUCUGCAGGUGAUUUCAUGAACAUUUUCAUUAAUAUGUAAGCUAAGCAAAAGACCGUUUGUAUACGUGGUCUUUAAAUAUGUUUUGCCUUCAUUUGAAAAAAAAUUUCAAUAAGACAGUAGAUUCUAAAGAAGAAUGGAGGUAGGUGUAAACGCAGAGAAAUCAAUAAAAAUAAUGAAAUUGUUAUAAAAAACUAUUGCUACCCAAACACACACGCACAAAUCGCAUACAAUGGCUUGAAAGAAGAGGCUCCGCCAUGCUGUCGCUUAGUGUGCCAAAAAGUACGUAAAUAUCACGACAAUAACGUGAAUAACGAGACAAAUAAAUUUUAGUAUGUCAAAAUAUUGACACUACAUUUUUAUGGGAGUCUACAAGAAUUGGCGCCGACACCGUUGCAGCAGGUACUAGUAACUAGAAUUUUUGCAAAUAAACUUCGCACAGUUUGCUGGAUUUAGUGUAUAUGAUGGUGUGAUUUGGUGUUGCAGCUAUUUUUAGCAAGCUUCAGCCAACUCCUCUAAGCUGUAUAUUGCCUAACAAUGCGUUGUGACGUCGCAAAUUUCACUUUAAUCCAACACGUUUAGUUCGCUCGCUAAAUUUGGCAUCACCUACCUGAACUCAUGCCAAUUCAAGCCUCGCGCAAGCCGCAUAAUCCUUAACAGCGUCAUCUGCUUCACAUCCAUUCCUCCAACAAAUGCAUUGAAUACACACCUGCCAAGCAUGGCUGAUAAAAGUUCGAAUGCAAUUUUCGCAUGUCAAAUUUAUUUCGCAUUCCUUUGUUUCAUACAUACACCUUUGGGAACGUAUUCUCACUUGGCCCAAAUACGCACAUACUUCACGUAUACUUUCGUUUCUUAACUGCGUGCACCGUAUGGCACUGUGCCGAUUUGUUUUGAGUAACAAAUCACAUUGAUAUUUCAAGUACGCGUUCCUUCCACUUUUAUUUUGUUAUGAGCUUCAUUUACUUUCGUGCAUGGAGUACGCUAUAUAGGCGACGCUGUGUAUUUAGGAGGCGCAUACUCAGCUUUUGGUGAAAUUGCCACUAAGUGUGGCAUAAUGGCAAAUGCCUAUUUAAAUUUUGGAAGUUGUAACUUAUCACGUAACUUUAUUUAGACUAUACUCUAUAUCUGCGAUGGUACCGAGUGGAAGUGCCUGAAUUGGUAAUUUGUGUUUUGAAUAUGUUAAUAUGCCCACAUAUGUUUUCAAAUUAUAAAACAGGAUAGUUAAACAAAUGCGUAGGUUUAUCAAGAAUUUAUGUUGUAACAUUAAAACAUAAUUUAAAUUAUCUCAGAGAAAAUGCAGUGCCAACUCAGAAGGAGCAAAGAAAUCCAGAAAGCAUAAAGUUAUUUUGAGGCCUAAUAAUAAUUUAGAAAAGUGUAAUGCUUUUCAGUAUAAUCGAUUCUAAUUGAUGGUCCUAAUUUUUAUACGUCGACGUAUGCUCUUUUCCCUGGUCUGAAGUCUUUCGAAAAUAAAUCAGGAAAUAAACAAAAACGUGUCUACCAUACAUUUAAAUUAACUCAAUUUCACUGAAAAAUUGAUUUAGAAAUGUUUACUUUAAAUUUUGAAAUUAUAAAAAGCCGGAUUACAUUUUGGUUUCAUUUUUAUUCGAUGAAAGCAUGUUUCUAUGUUGUAACCAGUGGAGUUAACUUAAAAGGGUAUAAUAUACCCAUAACUUGAUAUAAUUCGUUCACCAAAAGACCAUCUCAAAGAAAUACUGAUUGUAAUUGAUUUUACCUAACACAAAAUCAAUUAUUUCAAAUGCAAUGCAGGUUACUAAUACGCCACAUGCGACGUGAACACAAUAGCUUACAAUAGUCAAAUAAAUGUCUCAGAAGAGACUUAUGCAAAGUCAAUUGGCAGUGAAUAAAAAAGGGAAAAGCUCUAAAGAGUCACAGUGAGGCGCGCAAUACAACCUUGAAUUUGCAGGGAAAGAAAGAAAACACUUGAAAACCAACACUUAACUGAAAGUUGAAGGUUUCUUACUUACUAGUAGGAGUCGAGGAAUAUACUCGUGCAUAUGUAUACGUAUAUAAAUAAAGUUUGUAUACAUGAAGGCGCUUGUGAUUUGUUUUCGCGUGCUACGAGGUACACGCAAGAGUCUAGCUGUCAGCAAGUGCUAUAUGUGACACGAAAUUUUAAGCUAUACUAAAUUUGCGUGAAUAGAUUUUACACAUAUACAAAGCAUACAUGCAAACAUGCAUAUAUAUAAACAAUUUUCCUUUCAGUUACUCUUACGUGAAUAAACGAUUUAUGAAAGUACAUAAUAUUAUAUAUUUGAGUAUAUGUUUGUUUAUACUUGUUCAUAAGUACUUUUGGUAACUUCUCAAAUACAUCUUUUACAAUAUCACCCACAUAGUAAUGUCUAUAUGUUCUUACUCUUCUUUGACAAACGACAUAAAUCAAUUUGUUGGCUUCUAAUCUCCACUUCUUUUUACCGUUUGCCAUUUUUUACGCAAAUUACGAAUUCUCUUCGCGCAUUCUCAAUUUCCUUAGACGCCAUCAAUAACAUUGCCGCCUUACUGCCUUUCGAAGGCCUAUAAGACAAGCGCCGAAAUCCCCAUAAUGAGGUAGGAAAUUUAUUUAUUUCCUUCCAGGUUGUCAUUCCGCUCUCCUCUCUCUUACCGCAAAGCUGAGUAUCAAUUGAAUUUAUGCGAUUUUAUGUCUGUGUUUUGGUGUUUACAAGUUCUAGUUAAUCUCAUGGAUAUGCCGUUGAAGCAUAAAGAGCCACUGAGUGUCUAAUUUGGUAAUUAUUGCCUGUAGGCAUAUGGGUUUGCAUGUAAUUAUUUUUGUUAUUGUAAAAUGUUACUCUAGGCUAUGUUAAUUGGUAAAAGACGUUCAGCUGUGAUAUUCGAUUUGUCAGCUUAGCUAUGUAUUGCUCAUUAGGGUGUUUCAGACCAACUAAUCGGAGUUGAAGUUUAGUACGUAAUUUUUAGCAAUAAUGUUUUAUGCUUCACUAUGUUUAAUGUAUAUAUAUUGAACUAAGUUUUUAUAUACAAUAUUUUGACUAGACAACACGUAAGCUGAAUUAUGUUAUGCAGACCUGAUUUCCACAACCGCUAUCUGACUUUGCUUAAGAUGCAUGCAAGUAAGCUACAAUUGAAUUAGUUAAUCCAACUAUACCUUUGAGUCACACGCUUGUCAAUAAAAAUUUAAAUGGCGGCAAAUCUGAAAUUCCGUCGCGUAGCAUUUAUCCAGUCCUUAUAUUUUAUUUUUGAAGACCCAGUAAUAAUUUUUUCAAUAUUUUUUAUAUCUUUGUUUAAUUUUUAUACAAUUUAACGGCUGGAGUAUACCUGUAACUGAGCCUAGAUUUGCCUAUAAACAUUUCUAAGCUAACUCAAUAGUGUCGCAAUCGUGCGCGUGCUGUUUCCCUAAUGCUUCGCUGUCUAAGGUGUGCUUGCAACGCACAUUACUGAAGCGGCACACCACUUGGCAAGUCUCAAAGGUGUAAAGGAUGCAACUGCAUAUAGUUACAUACAUACAGUCAACAUUUUCAUAUAAGCGCUUUCACAUUGUUUCGGCUGUGCUUCUGCUCGGUGUGUUACGUUUGGCUGCGCUUCUUCUCUUCGAAGUUUGGUGACACAAACGUUACGUUACUUUCCUUCUUCACUUCGCUUUCACUAUUGCAGCGCAGCUACUUAAACAUUUACAUUUUACAACAACAUUGUAUGCCGCCUGUGGCAAUCCCCGUGUUUUUAAGUCUGCUACUUUGCGCCAUUACCGCUCACGUUUAUCACUGCGCACUCGUUCUACUCAUCAGCAAUGCCAUCACUUUCGCUUUGUCUAUCGUUGUAGUAUGUGUCUUCAUGUCUUUCAUUGUUCUAUCGGUUUUACACUUUCAUUGGUAGAAAUUAUUGCAGGUGGGCUUAUCAUGCCACCCAUUAUACAUACCUUUAAUGUUUCCUCCCAGAUUACACAUUUCAUAAAUUUCGUUUAUUUUAUUUUAUGCUUUUUCGCCGAUGAACUGUUAUUUUCUGUAUUUAUCAUUCACUCUCUCUCUCUUUUUCAUGUUUCGCCCGGGCUAUAAGAUGUCUUAACCGAUGUGUCGAAAUCGUGUCACUGGCGUAGAAGUCGAGGUCUCUCUGUGCGGUCCGCAACGACCGAAACCAUCAGUGUUACUCUGCAACACGCAAACGUGCUCACGCAAGUGGAUCACUGACGACUGUAGUUCAUGCAGCCGACUCUGUGAACCUGGCUACCGUGAGCGCAUGGUGGUUUGUGCGGAGGAGAAUAAUGGCAUCAAGACAAUGAUACUCGAUGUGUCGUGUCGGGCGCCAAACCCAGCCACACAGGAGCCCUGCAUGAUUGAGAAGUGCUCAACGUGGGAGGUGGAAGAGUUGACUGAAUGCCCUGCGGCUUACAAGCCCAUUCAACAUAUACAUAUGUAUGCAUGCUUGACUUUGGGCUCACACCUAGUUCUCGUUAACCUGUGGCCAGGGCUUGUAGAUGCGUGGAGUUGAAUGUAAAUCGGCGCCAAAUGUGACCCACUUACGAAGUCCGCAUCGGUGCAGCAAUGCUCGCCGAUGGUCUCAUGUGACGCUGGCGGUGGUACAAUUAUACUUGGCAGCAGCGCAUCCCUCGCAUCGUCGGAUGAUGGUAAUCCCAGUGAAGAAGAUGACGAUGAUUCAACGGAUGUUGAUAAUGUUGAGGAGUUAGCUGCUGAUCAUGAUGAUGUUAUAUGCAUCAUGAGGAACCCCAGCAGCCAAGUGCUGAGCGUCUUACCUACCUGUCAGAGAUCCAAGAGUCGCUCAAUAGCUUGCUUGCGUUUGCGCCAUUACACGCCCAUACACAAUGCACUGGAGUCGCACGUAGAAGCGGACAUCGAGGCGGUCGGCAAUGCGUACUGUGGGGAUUAUGGACUAAGCGCUCCUGACACAUUCGAUAUGUGCGGAGAGGAGUAAUGUACCCGCUGCUAGGCUGAUGAGUGGACUUUGUGUCAGCGUUCACGUUGUUUUGGACUCAACACGGCCAUCCUGAAGCGUGAGGGGAAAUGUCACUUUGCGUAUGAAACUGAUGCGACAGAAAUCACACUAUGAAAGUGUGCGGAAUCCGCCAGGUUUGGCAAAAAAUUUUGAACAAUGCCAGGACGCUUCAAGCUAUUGCCGCAAGGUACGCUUGGUGGGUUUGUGCAGAUUACACCGUUACCAAAAGAAAUGCAUAUUACAAUAACCAACACUAACAGCCAUGGCAAGGCAAAGCAAAAGUGUAAAAGUCAAGGCUAUGAGGCUUAAGCAAAGCUAAAGCACGAAUACAAUAACACAAACAAGCUACAUAUUCUACAGAAGCUCUCAAAAAACAUAAACGAAGGCAAAUAAAUGUGAGUAUUCAACCGAUUACCAGCCAUUAAUGCAAAAUUGAGGCAAAGUGAAAGUAAUAAAAAUAGUUAUAAUAAUAAUAACGGUAAAAUAAGAGCUCUAUGCAAAUUCAUGAAGCGUAAAAUGUUACUAAAAUCGCAACGAAACACACACAUAAACAUACGUACUGUGAAAGCGAAAACCGUGCAAUUGAAGCGCAUGAUUUGGUGGCAAGCAAAUUACUACUUAAUAAUCUAUUAUUCAUAAAAAAAAUAUUUGAAUGCAUUGAAUGAGCGCAACCAAAUGAAUUGAAUGAAGGAAAAUAAAUAAAAGUAACAAAUGCAAAUGCAAAUAAAAACUAACUGUAGACUGCUUUAUACAAAACUAUUUACAUACAUAUUGUAAGUUCCUACACACACACGAAAUAGUAGCCAUAACGUGAAAACAACAACAACGCUUCAAUUCAACGCAGCAAAAGAAGUAAAUAAAUAAUUAAGAUCGUAGUGAGAAGAGAGAUUGUGUGUGGCAGACGCUGAUUGAGGCAACAAAAGAACACACACACAGACGCAUUAAUAUAUUGCAAAUAUAAUGUAAAUAUAAAUAUAGAAACUUUGCUACAAAUGCGAUUAUAACGCCGGCAGCCUCAUAUAAAAUUCAGCAAGAAUCGAGCAGGAGCAAAACGCCAAAGACGAGAGUGUUCGCUCAUCGUUAUGGAUUAUUUGCCUAUUCCACCGAAAAGACGCAUAUUCACUGAACGGAGUUGUUACAGUUGUAUUAUAUCAAGUCGCUCUCUUUUAGUAAAGUGACACUCAGAAUACGGUAAUAUUAGUUAUACUCAGUGUCAUCACCUUAAGGCUCCGACACAUUAACAGAUGUCGAUUUCGCCAGAAACAAUUUUGACAUCAGCUCUUCGGUGGCAAGAAUGAAUCAGCCCGUGAUCGAUAGGCCUACAUAAAUCAACAACAAAUUGUUUACAAAUCGACUUUAUAGAAACAUUCGAACUCACAACAGUCAUUGAAAUGCGCAUGCUCCUAUAACAUUAUAAACAUAAGCUACCACCGCUGCAGUUUACUAAAUACUGUAUGCGCUCUAAACAGUACAACUGUUGGCGAAUAUGGAAACUGGCGCAGCCUCUGAAAAAAUCUAAAGUCUGAAAAUAGUAGCUAAUAAAUAAAACCUAAAGCCUAGGUUAUUUAAACUAAUAAAUAAAUUUACAAAUUAAUUAUACGAUUUGUUACUAUUUACCAGACUGAUAAUUUUAAGCAAUAUAUUGUUUGAUAAUAAGAAGAAAAUGUAAGCAUUGAUACAGUUUAUAAUAUAUUUUCAUUAC